rnacentral:misc_RNA from 1 species
GCUCAGCGUUACUUAGAUGAGUUGGUCCAGAGGUGUAUGGUUCAGGUAGUAGAAAGAGGCUCAACUGGAAGGAUUAGAACUUGCCGUAUGCAUGACCUUAUGCGAGACUUAUGCUUGUCAAAGGCAAAACAGGAAAAUUUUCUAGAGACUUAUUGUCAAUUGCAUGCAAAUGAUCACUCGGUUUACUCAUUUCCUUCAUCCCUGGUAAAUGAAGCAAGGUCAAUUGGUAGGCUUCGUAGACUUGCAAUCUUUUUGGAUGGAGACCUUAAAAGAUUUGUCCCCUCUCGAUACAAAAGAAAUUCCCACCUUAGAUCUCUUCUGUAUUUCCAUGAAAAACCAUGUCAUGCAGAGAAAUGGGGAUCAAUAAAAUCAGUUUUCAACAACUUUAAGUUACUCAGGGUCUUAGAUCUUGAAGGAAUUCAGAGUCAUGAUGGAAAGUUACCAAAAGAAAUUGGCAUGUUGAUCCACUUGAGAUUCUUGAGCCUGAGGGAUACUGAUAUAGAUGAAUUGCCAUUUACAAUAGGCAACUUGAGGUACUUGCAGACCCUAGACCUUUUGACUUGGAAUUCAACUGUACAAAUACCAAAUGUGAUAUGGAAGAUGCAAAGGUUGAGGCAUUUAUAUCUUCCUGAAUCCUGUGGUGAUGAUUCAGAUAAAUGGCAGUUGGCUACACUGAGCGACCUGCAGACUCUAGUGAACUUUCCUGCAGAAAAAUGUAACAUAAAAGAUCUACUAAGUCUGACCAAUCUCAAGAAACUAGUAAUAGAUGAUCCGAAAUUCGGGCUACUCUUCAAAUCACUUGGUGCUUCAUUUAACCACUUGGAGACUUUGUCCUUUGUCAGUAAUGAAGAUUCUACUGUAAUUCAAGUUAUUACAGAAAGUCCUCAUCUUUAUAAGCUGCAUAUAGAAGGC